rnacentral:lncRNA from 1 species
UAUCAAAUGCGGAAGCGAAGACAAAAUUGAUUAACAUCCCUUACACUAAAACCAAAAACGUGCUCACAAAAUAUAAAAGAUUAAACUACCUAAAGGGGAAACUUGAAAGUAAAAACUACGAAUGUGACUAUGGAGUCCUUAGGCGUCCCCUUCGUCGUCCUCCUGCGGAACCGGCUCGGGAACGAUGUCCUCUUGAUCUGAAAUGAUUAAAUAAGGAAUGAGCUACACUAGGCCAGUAAAGACAUCACGAUAUCUCACCGUCACGGAGGUAAAGGUGGGUAGAAAACACAAAAGACCAAUGGAGCAUGAUUUACGACAAAUCCUUUUAUUAAUAAUAAAACCUUUACCAUCCACUUACCUCGGUGGAAUUUAUAAAACAAUAUACGAAAGCAAUAACAUUAUCAUAAUCAUGGAAUCAUAUAAACUGUAAAACAUAACACUUAUCACGCCUUUUGUAAUUCAAUCAUUAUACAACAUAUCUUUUCCUUAUUUACCAGCCUACUAGUAUCCGUGGGGGUCCAUAGGGGUCCCGCUACCCGUUAACCUUUAACAUUCGUCAUCGGAUUCCAGGGCCGUCCCCAUACCCCGUCCGGUAUGGGCGCCAAAACCAUAAAUCUCAAUACCCCGUCCGGUAUGAGGGUGAAACGGGCCGUCCCCAUACCCCGUCCGGUAUGGGCGCCAAAACACACAAGAUCUCCAUACCCCGUCCGGUAUGGGCGCCAAAACACACAAGAUCUCCAUACCCCGUCCGGUAUGGGAGACCACAAUCCCGGUAGGGUUCCCUACGGACCCGGUCCGUCCACCAUCUCCCAGGAUAUCUAGUCGGACUGAACACAUUAUACAAUUUUCAUUCACAUAAUCUUUCAUUCUCCUUUUCCCUCAGUCAGCAUUAUCAAUCACAUACAAACAAGCAAAACGAUAAUUUAUGCCAAACAGACAACAUAUAGCACCAAUAUCCCGGUCAUUCAAU